rnacentral:rRNA from 1 species
CGUAGGUUUGAUCAGUCGGCUCGAGGACGAACGCUGGCGGCGUGCCUAACACAUGCAAGUCGAACGGAGUUCAUUAACCAGAUCCCUUCGGGGGUGACGGUUUUUGAACUUAGUGGCGGACGGGUGAGUAACGCGUGAGCAACUGCCCUUCAGAGGGGGACAACAGCUGGAAACGGCUGCUAAUACCGCAUGAGACCACGACCCGGCAGUCGGGAUGGGGUCAAAGAUUAAUCGCUGAGAGGUGGGCUCGCGUCUGAUUAGAUAGUUGGUGGGGUAACGGCCUACCAAGUCGACGAUCAGUAGCCGACCUGAGAGGGUGAUCGGCCACAUUGGGACUGAGACACGGCCCAAACUCCUACGGGGAGGCAGCAGGUGGGGAAUAUUGGGCAAUGGGGGGAACCCUGACCCAGCAACGCCGCGUGGAGGAAGAAGGUUUUCGGAUCGUAAACUCCUGUCCUCAGGGAAGAGCAGAAGACGGUACCUGAGGAGGAAGCCCCGGCUAACUACGUG